rnacentral:ncRNA from 1 species
AAGUAACUGUCUGCGCGUCAAGUGCCAUUGAACGGGACGUUGUCAAUGGACGAAAGGAAAGAAAAAUCUUUGCAUUCUUUCCUGCGGUGCGGGCGGUGCGUCCG